UACAGAGGUCUCAAGCGUUGUUCGGAUUCAUUGGGCGUAAAGGGUGCGUAGGCGGCGCGGUAAGUCGGGGUGUGAAAUCUCGGAGCUUAACUCCGAAACUGCAUUCGAUACUGCCGUGCUUGAGGACUGGAGAGGAGACUGGAAUUCCUGGUGUAGCGGUGAAAUGCGCAGAUAUCAGGAGGAACACCGAUGGCGAAGGCGGGUCUCUGGGCCGAUACUGACGCUGAGGAGCGAAAGCGUGGGGAGCGAACAGG
rnacentral:rRNA from 1 species